GACGAACGCUGGAGGCGUGCUUAACACAUGCAAGUCGAACGAUGAAAUGGAGCUUGCUCCAUGGAUUAGUGGCGAACGGGUGAGUAACACGUGAAUAACCUGCCCUUAAUUUUGGAAUAACCCAGGGAAACCUGGGCUAAUACCGGAUAAGUAAACCUGUGGCAUCACAUGGUUUUGGAAAGUUUUUCGAUUAAGGAUGGAUUCGCGGCCUAUUAGCUUGUUGGUGAGGUAAUGGCUCACCAAGGCGACGACGGGUAGCCGGCCUGAGAGGGUGAACGGCCACACUGGGACUGAGACACGGCACAGGCUCCUACGGGAGGCAGCAGUGGGGAAUAUUGCGCAAUGGACGAAAGUCUGACGCAGCGACGCCUCGUGAGGGACGAAGGUCUUCGGAUUGUAAACCUCUUUCAGCAGGGACGAAGCGAAAGUGACGGUACCUGCAGAAGAAGCACCGGCUAACUAUGUGCCAGCCGCCGCGGUAA
rnacentral:rRNA from 1 species